rnacentral:tRNA from 1 species
GUAAGAAUAGUAGAGUGGUUAACGCCUAGCCCUUUCACCCUAGAGACCAGGGAUCGAAUCCCGGAUGCUACU